rnacentral:rRNA from 1 species
GUUCUUUAAAUGAGGACUCGUAUCAAUGGCACCACGAGGACUUUACUGUCUCCUUUUUCUAAUCAGUGAAACUAAUCUUCCCGUGAAGAAGCGGGAAUAAAUAGAUAAGACGAGAAGACCCCAUGGAGCUUUAAGCUUACUGCACCUCUAUUUUCUAUAACCUCUUAUUAAACGGAAUACUGCUUACUUAGCUUUAGGUUGGGGUGACCGCGGAGUAUAACAUAACCUCCAUGAUGAACAAAACUAUUCUCUUAUCUAAGAACAACAGUUCUAAGAAUUAGUAUUCUAACAUAAAAUGAUCCGAUAAUCGAUCAACGGACUAAGUUACCCUGGGGAUAACAGCGCAAUCCAUUUCAAGAGCCCCUAUCGACAAAUGGGUUUACGACCUCGAUGUUGGAUCAGGAUAUCCUAGUGGUGCAGCAGCUACUGAAGGUUCGUUUGUUCAACGAUUAAAAUCCU